AUUGAACGCUGGCGGCAGGCCUAACACAUGCAAGUCGAACGAGUGGCGGACGGGUGAGUAAUGUCUGGGAAACUGCCCGAUGGAGGGGGAUAACUACUGGAAACGGUAGCUAAUACCGCAUACCAUCGGAUGUGCCCAGAUGGGAUUAGCUAGUUGGUGGGGUAAAGGACUACCAAGGCGACGAUCCGUAACUGGUCUGAGAGGAUGAUCAGACACACUGAAACUGAGACACGGUCCAGACCCCUGCGGGAGGCAGCAGUGGGGAAUUUGGGACAAUGGGCGAAAGCCUGAUCCAGCCAUGCCGUGUGUGUGAAGAAGGUCUUCGGAUUGUAAAGCCUUUUAAGUUGGGAGGCGUUACCAACAGAAUAAGCACCGGCUAACUUCGUGCCAGCAGCCGCGGUAAUU
rnacentral:rRNA from 1 species